AAAAAGGUAAUUACUCAAAUUUGGCAUUAUAUCAUUUGUCUUGCAUAACACCCUAUCAACAUUAACAGAGCCAUUACAGAUGCCAUUCUUAGGAAUUAGGUCAGCAGCGAAAUGCAUCCGUUUAUGAGUAGCCCGACUCAAUAUAAAAUGUCCUAUCAGACAUCGUGCAAUCGAUGUAAAUCAUUUAGGAUCAAUUACUGUAUGUUAUCUGCGAAUAUUUUGUGCUUAACAAUUAUGAGCACUUACCACGUAAGAAGUGAAUGUGGCAGCCGCCGCCGCGUCUGCACUGUACGGGAGAUGGGAGUUGUACCCGGGCGAAGCGCUGGUGAACGCAGUAGAUCCGGCAUAUGGAGCAAAAGCCGAGCCCGAAGAAGAUCUUCCAAGUUCCUCGGUCCUGGGUCCCGAGAUAACGCUUGUACUGUACGCCGGGCACGAAUACAGUGCCAAAGAAGCGGACGGCUGGUACAAGUAGCCCUGAGGAUACGCCAUGCUGGAGACCCGAAAUUUCCUCGCUCUCACACCGUGCAGAUGAAGUUUUUUGCCGUCGGAUGGGGGCUUUGCUUGGGAAAAUGUCCUGCCAAGAUGCUAAGUUGGAAAUUGAGGAUUCUGACGCCUACUACGUUCUUCACGCUCCUCCUCUCGGGGUGUAGUCAUCGAAGGAAAAGGCAAGCUUAUGCUGGGCUCGUUGCUGUGAGACUCAAGUGCGCCAGCCCCUGGAUGGCGAUAUCAUGCGAGCCUGUAGAUCAACUCCAACUUUCUUCUUUUUCUAAAUACGAAGCCGUCACUUUCAGACUUGAUCAAUAACAAAUGGGCUGUUGUCUACCAGGAGGGGCUUGCCAGAUACAAGAGGAAAAGCGCUCCGUGUUGUGUACAAGGGCUUCCUUUUCUGAAGAGUUUAUUGUGUCUUUGAGCGCACAACUUGUCAGUUUGAAUAUAUGCCUCAAAACGACUUGACUGACGCGUGAUCGUGCGUGCCUUAAAUUAAAAUUCGCAACGGGAGCUAAAGGGGUGACGGGUUUCAAUUGGAUUACUAUUGUGUUUAUCGACAUUAUUGCACCAGACGCGCGUUUUGGUAAGACAAGGCAAGUUAACGGCUCGGAUUCUCAAUCAUAAAGGCCUUAUUCCAAUUGUUUUGCUGUCUUUUAUUGCAUACAUUCGUAAUGUACAUAGAUUAAUAAGACCGUUUCAUUUACUGAGAUGUGUAAACCCUCCCAAAAAAUUGGAAUUGUAAAUCUUUGAACGGUAGUCUGCUUUUCUCUGAGAUGACUGCUAAGUAGUUUUUGCCAUUAUGUCCAGGAAUAAGCCAGUCAGACACACACUCCCCGAAAGUCCUGAAAGCCCCAAGCAAGGGCAGAUUAGUACCAUAUGAACUCAGCAAAUCCGCUACGACCAGUGGAUGUAAUCUCAUUUUAUUCCAGUAGAUACAUUUCUCUGAUGAAAUUUAAGGUAACCAGCAGGAUUUUAUUUGAUAUAGAUUUUUUGUUUAAUUGUGUUCCUUUGACGCCAAAUGCAAUCUACCUUUCCACUAACAAAACAAUUGAAAACCAAUAGAAACAUGAACAAUCACAAAGUGUAUUCUGAAACAACAAUAUGCAUUAUCACAAUAAUAUUAAUAACAGUCAUUUGUAAUGGGAUGCAGAGUAAUUCAUGUCUUUCCCUGGUCAAAAUCAAUUGUUCCAAAUACUGAUAUGUUUGGAGUCUAACUUGUCAACAAUAUGUGACAAUACAGAUAUCCAAAGGCCAUGGUCACACUGGUGAUUUUCAGGCAUCAAAGUUCAAAUCUCCGAUAAACCGAAAGGGAUCGCUGUAGGCGCUGCUAAAAAGUGUGUGCACAGUGUCACGUGUUGUUAGUCUCUGAAAACAUCUUGAGAGGAAAUAAUGAUGACGAUGGUACAGUGUGGGCCAUUACACAGUUUUUUUUUUUCAAUUGCCAUUUACACAGAUAAUUGUUGUAAACAGUUAGGAAAUGAAACCAUAAACAGAGAGAAAUUGUUUAACGUAAUGUGAACCUCUCUGUCCCCACUCUGUUUACCAUUCAUUGUGUUAUUGGUCAGUUUUUUUCUUCAAGAGGGACGUAAUGAAUGGCCAAUGCUCAGUCACCUUUUGAAGCUUACCGUUUACCAAGGACAUCAGAGCACCGAGAAUGACGUCAAUAUUUCAUUGAUACUUUAUUAUCGACUGUAAUGACUCACGCACUUGAUAACAGAUGCAUUCUGUGUUGGGGGGAGGAACUACGUGGAGCUGUGAAACGAGUAGCAGCAGCUGCUGACCGCUCAUACAGACAAGAAAGGUAGGAAACUGUCAAGUUCCGUAUCGUCAUUUUUCAAAACUAGAUAUAUUUUACCGCUGUACAUUUGGAGUAGCCAAUGUUUCGUUUUUAUGUGUUUGAAAUACUGGUCAAUAGUUUUAGAAAAUUCCAGAUAAGAUCCGUAAUGAAAAUGGUCCGCUUAAAAACUAAUGCCGUAGCCAAAGGCUACGGAAUGUAAUUAUCGGGCACUUCUGACAAAAGUUAUUUUUUCCAUCCAUAUUGACCAAGACUUAGCCUACUAGGCAAUUUAGGAAAGUAGCCGGUCUAGCCUUCUACUUACUAGCAGUAAAACAUAUUGGGUAAUAACGCCCAGCGGUAGCUCAACCAUGUGAAGAAUGAUGCAUCACACCAGAAAUGCCUGAGGGAGGAGGCGUAAUCUAAUUUGGAUUUAGAGACUAUUAUUAGAAAGCAUUAACUAUUGUAGCAGGCUAAUUGCUUCUCGCGUUCACACCAAGGAUAGUUAAGUUAAACAAAGUUGGUUAACGUCAAGCAGUGUGACAUGCUUCUUCCUGCACAAGGUCAGGUGCGCCAGCCCAAAGUAGUGGUCGGUCUGCACAGGAGAAAGCUUCAACUGUUCAUUUUAGCCAUUCUAAGCUGUGUCCUAAACCGAUUAGUUGACACCAAUUUUUCUUUGAUGUAUUAGCUGAGGGCUUUUGCCACUUUGAAGCCAAUUGAAAUUCAAAACAGUUUCCCUCCCAAUGCUUUGGGGAGAUGUGCUGCAAAUAAUGGAUGUAAUUUAUUUUUGACCUUGCAUUUUUUUUAUUAAAUGAUUAAACGUGCAUUGCUUCUCUCGACUGAAAAACUUGACUUGCUACCGCUACAAUAUCAUCUGCUAUUUGGGAUAGUAUAGCAAGUCAUUGAUUUAAGUCGAAAUAAUAGUGAUAUAAUCACAAGAAACAUGUAUCUGUGUAUUUUAUUUCGUGUUCACUUUUCAUAUAUUUAAAUUGUACAAGUUAUUAAUUAAAUAGACCUACAAGUAUCGUUUUGUACCAACAAUAAAACAAUAUUAAAAUCAAUAGUAAUUCAAUCAUAGAGUUGUCUGUUUGUACAUUUGUCAUUUUUUAUGCCAAAGGAAUCGCAAAGUAACUGAUAUCCAAUUGCACAUUAUCAACACGUGACUAUAAUUAUGUGAAUUUUGUGUGGUCAAUUCCUAAUGUGUACAGUCAUCUUUGUUAAGUUAAAGUAAUGCUCCGCAUAGUCUUUUUCCACCCUAAAGACAUACUUACAGAUCUACAGAUGAAGGCAUGGAGUCCUGAGGCAGACUGCAAAAGGAAACCCAAUUACACAAGUAACUGCUCAUGUCACUACAACCUUCAUCUGCAAAAAAGCACUAUCUUAUAAACAGUGUGUCUUGCUGUUUUUAUAUGCCACACUAUUCUGCCGUAUGUUGGUUGUAUAGUGGUUAUUGAUUUGUUAUGAAUGCAUGCACGCCAUAGGCGAUCAUGAUAGCAGGCAUUUUCCCUUAAAGUAAUAAAACUGCAAUAUUCUGUA